CCCAGGAAGCAGAGUGUUCAUUCAUCCGCUGACCUCGCUUUCGUGCUGUGAAACAUCACAUUAGUUGCAACAGCAGCUCUGAUUGUCUUUCUGCAGAACAAAAGAACUGCUCAUUGGCUUUUGAAGAUGGGCUCAUGACGGUAAAGAUAAGGAUGGCAGCUUAUAGAUGCCUGAUAUCUAAAACAGAUGAAUGUGGCACGGCAGACAAUGUCCACAAGGUUAUUAACCCUGAGGAAUCGUUACAAACUUGAAAGGUUCCUCUCAGCAUGGAUCAGAAGCCAUUAUCACACAGGAUUCCAAAAGGGAAUCAAAAGGAGUAACUGCUGGUGGGGAUGCAGCUUCCUGAGACAAUGGAGACUGGCUGGAACAGCACAGGCCCUUUCUGUCCUCUCCAGCUCUGGGUGUCUUGAGAGUGUCCUGACAUCUCAGAGAAGCCUGAAUUCUGGAGCUCUCCACCAAAACCUCCAAGGUCUGAAUCUGGACCAAGCAGUACAUCUUUCUCCUCAGAGAGCAGCUAAGUCUUUGUUACAGAGAAACACGAGGAGAAUUUGUCCAUGGUGACUUUUUGCAAAUAUCCAGACACAAAAACUGUUGGCAGCUUUUCUCGCUAAAACAUAUUCAAGUUAUGUUCCAUUGGCCAUCCCUCUCCAGCGACUGGUUGGGUGCAGUCAUUCUGGCUCCAGGUACUUUCAAUAUGGGCUCCACUGGGGCUCUUCAGCUGUGGUACAAAUGUGACAUCAACCCCAGACAGUGUUGCUGAGACUCAAGACACCAGCUCACAGGGAAUCCUAGGCGUCUGUUGGUAAUGGCUACCUACCUCAAGGUAGUAUAUCUGCUUCAGGCUACUUAUUCUUUCUCACCGUACAAAAAAAAAAAAAAAACAAGUUGGUAGCCGCUCCACCAUAAUCUUGCUUCAAAUAUGGCCAUGAGAAAUGGGAGCAAAGCUCCGAAGUCAAGACAAGUAAAAUCUUGAUUUAAAGAGGAGUUAAGCCCUAAAGAGGUAUAGCAUCCUGUCUGGAUCCCUGGUCGUGGCCUGCUGACUGAUCAGGUGUCUGGAGAAAUUAAGAGAAGACUUCAAAGACCCUCUAUUCAAAGUCACGCCCUGUGAAGGGAACCUGUCCUCAGUGCUCUCUGUCACAGAUGUUAAUGACAACCCCAGGACACCCAGGCUGUCUCUGUUUUCCGAGGCUCUUCCCUGCAGGAGAUGGACUCAUUUUCAAAGACGAGGAAGGCUGGAAAACCGGACGCAGCCGAGCCGAUAUGCACCGAGCUUUAUGGUGGCGCCGAGGGCAGAGGUCACCCAAAGGAGAUGUGAGAGCCCUUCUGGAGAGAGAGAAGCCAGCUUACCGCACGGUGUACAGCUGUGAUGGCUGCUUGAAGCACGGGCGAAAGGGUGAUAGGGCAGACUGCAGGGAGACAGAACCCAGAAUGGGGAUCACUUGGUCUUUUUAACUAAGAUUCUUUUUUUUUUCUCCUAUCACCGCAAGGAAGCCUGAGACAUUAAAGCAUAGGUCAGAAUUUCUUGAAAUAACUGCUCAUCAAAGGGGGCAAGAAGUUUCACAAACGAUGAAUGAGAGUAUCGACAAAAAUAGAGGUUUUCUUCACAAGUGGGUAAGUAAGUAUCUUAGAGGCCAGUCCUCAGGAUGACAGAGACACAUGUUAGUAGGGUGCUACAGAAGAUUUCACCCCUUGAAAAAUCCUGAAGGCAAGCACCUGUACAUAUAAAACAUUGUUAUACUCACCAUAGAGGUAACAGCUCUCUUCCAUCUCUUCUUGUACUGGAUUGAAUCUGCAGUCUUCCCCAUAUGUUUGCUGAAGGCUGUGAUGGAUGCUUGAAGCAUGGGUUCUAGGGUGAUAGGGCUGACUGUAAGAAGAUGGAACCUAGACUGGGGCCCGUUGGUACUUUUAACUAAGAUCCAUUUUUCACUGGUUACUCCAAGGAAGACUGAGAUUUGAAAGCAUAGUUUAGAACCUCUUAAAAUGACUAGUCAUAAAGGUGUGGCUUUAACCUCAUCAGUAAGUGGAUUGAUGAAGGAGUUAUAGAUAGAUGGAAAUAUUGGCAGGGGGUAAAAACUAAAAACUGGAGGAAGGUUACCAAGGUGCGCUCCAUAACGGUAUGUCUUAUUCCAGGUCCUUGCACGUGCUUUCUGCCAACACAGCACAGGCAGCUUUCUUUUCUUUUCUUUUCUUUUCUUUUUUUAAUGUGCUUUAGUGUGAAGGUGUCAGAUCCCUUGGAAUUGACCUUACAGACAGUUGUGAGCUGCUAUUUGGGUUGCAUGGAAAUUGAACCUGGGUCCAUUUGAAAGAGCACACAGUGCUCUUAACCACUGAGCCAUCUCUCCAGCCCCAGGCAACUUUCUUUUUUGUUGUUUUUUUUUCUUUUUUAAUAUAAUCUUUCAUUUAUUACAAUUUAUUCACUUUAUAUCCUAGCUGUAGCCUCCAUUCUUGUCCCCUCCCAAUCCCGCCCUCCCUCCCUCCCUCAUCUCCUCCCAUGCCUCUUCCCAGUCCACUGAUAGAGGAGGACUUCCUCCCCUUCCAUCUGACCCUAGCCUAUCAGGUCUCAUCAGGACUAUCUUUCAUAGUCUUCCUCUGUGGCCUGGUAAGGUUGGUCCCCCCUCAGGGGGAGGUGAUCAAAGAGCCAGCCACUGAGUUCAUGUCAGAGACAACCCCUUCCUCCCCUUACUGGGAAGCCCAUUUGGAGACUGAGCUGCCACGGGCUACCUCUGUGCAGGGGUUCUAGGUUAUCUCCAUGAAUGGUCCUUCGUUGGAGUAUCAGUCUCAGAAAAGACCCCUGUGCCCAGAAAUUUUGGUUCUGUUGUUCUCCUUGUGGAGCUCUAGACCCUUCCAGGUCUUUCUAUCUCCCCCUUCUUUCAUAAAAUUCUCUGCACUGUGCCCAAAGUUUGGCUAUGAGUCGCAGCAUCUGCUUUAAUACCCUGCUGGAUAGAGUCUUUCAGAGGCCCUCUGUGGUAGGCUCCUCCUGUCUUGUUCCUUGUUUUCACCUUCUUCCGAUGUCUAUCCUGUUUCCUUUCUGAAUGAGGAUUAAGCAUAUUAGCCAGGGUCCUCCUUCUUGAUUAGCUUCUUUAGGUGUACAGAUUUUAGCAUGAUUAUCCUAUGUUAUAUGUCUAAUAACCACUUAUAAGUGAGUAUGUACCAUACGUGUCUUUCUGCUUCUGGAAUACCUCGCUCAGGAUGAUCUUUUCUAGUUCCCACCAUUUGCCUGCAGAUUUCAUGAUUUCCUUGUUUUUAAUAGCUGAGUAGUAUUCCAUUGUAUAAAUGUACCACAAUUUCUGUAUCCAUUCCUCAAUUGAGGGUCAUCUGGGUUGUUUCCAGAUUCUGGCUAUUAUGAAUAAAGCUGCUAUAAACAUGGUUGAGCAAAUGUCCUUGCUGUAUACUUGAACAUAUUUUGGAUAUAUGCCUAGGAGUGGUAUAGCUGCAUCUUGAGGAAGCUCUAUUCCUAAUUGUCAAAGAAAGAGCCAGAUUGAUCUCCAAAGUGGUUGUACAAGUUUACAUUCCCACCAGCAAUGGGGGAGGGUUCUCCUUUCUCCACA